CGGAGUGUAGCGCAGUCUGGUAGCGCACUUUACUGGGGGUGAAGGGGUCGUGGGUUCGAAUCCCGCCACUCCGACCA
rnacentral:tRNA from 1 species